rnacentral:rRNA from 2 species
UCCAAUCGAACGCGGAGAUAGCUGGUUCUCCCCGAAAUAGCUUUAGGGCUAGCCUGAGGUAGUAAGUAUAGGCGGUAGAGCACUGAUCGGGCUAGGGGCCGUAAAGGUUACCGAACCCUGUCAAACUCCGAAUGGAUAUACUGUAGAGCCUUGGAGUCAGACUACGAGUGAUAAGAUCCGUGGUCAAAAGGGAAACAGCCCAGACCACCAGCUAAGGUCCCCAAUGUCGUACUAAGUGGAAAAGGAUGUGGGGUUUCAUAAACAACCAGGAUGUUGGCUCAGAAGCAGCCACCAUUUAAAGAGUGCGUAAUAGCUCACUGGUCGAGAGACCCUGCGCCGAAGAUUCCCGGGGCUAAAGUACGAAACCGAAGCUGUGGCUGUAUACGUAAAGUAUACGGGGUAGGGGAGCGUUCCCAUAGGGUAGAAGUCGAACUGGAAGGUUCGGUGGACUUGUGGGAAGUGAGAAUGUUGGUAUGAGUAGCGAAAAGAAAGGUGAGAAUCCUUUCCACCGAAAGCAUAAGGAUUCCUGAGCAACGAUCGUCGUCUCAGGGUAAGUCGGGACCUAAUCCGAGGCAGAGAGCGUAGGAGAUGGACAACUGGUUGAUAUUCCAGUACCGGUAGUAAUUGUUUGAGCAAUGGAGUGACACAGAAGGGCAGGCAAGCAUGCGAAUGGAAGAGCAUGUGUAAGCGUGUAGGGUGGUGCAUAGGCAAAUCCGUGCACUGAAAGCCUGAGGCGUGAUGCGGAGUGAGCAGAGAUGCGAGCGAAGUUGUUGACCCCACACUGUCGAGAAAAGCUUCUAGUGAGAGAGCUACCGCCCGUACCGUAAACCGACACAGGUAUGCGGGGAGAGAAUCCUAAGGUGCGCGGGAGAACCCUCGUUAAGGAACUCGGCAAAAUGUACCCGUAACUUCGGGAUAAGGGUAGCCACUGUUGUGAAGUCCCAUGCGGAUGGAGCAUAGAGUGGUCGCAGAGAAGAGGCCCAAGCGACUGUUUACCAUAAACACAGGUGCCUGCUAAAGCGAAAGCUGACGUAUAGGUGCUGACACCUGCCCAGUGCCGGAAGGUUAAGGAAGGAUGUUCGGAUUAGUCCAAAGCAUUCGACUGAAGCCCCGGUGAACGGCGGCCGUAACUAUAACGGUCCUAAGGUAGCGAAAUUCCUUGUCGGGUAAGUUCCGACCCGCACGAAAGGUGUAACGAUUUGGGCACUGUCUCAACGAGGGACCCGGUGAAAUUGAAAUACCUGUGAAGAUGCAGGUUACCCGCGACUGGACAGAAAGACCCCAUGGAGCUUUACUGUAACCUGACAUUGGGUUUUGAUACAUUACGUACAGGAUAGGUGGGAGGCUUGGAAAGUUGGACGCUAGUCUGACUGGAGCCGACGUUGGGAUACCACCCUUGAUGUAUUGAAAUUCUAACCGCGAGAGUAACGAAAUCCGGGACAGUGUCAGGCGGGCAGUUUGACUGGGGCGGUCGCCUCCGAAAGAGUAACGGAGGCGCCCAAAGGUUCCCUCAGCGCGGCCGGAAAUCGCGCGAAGAGUGUAAAGGCAGAAGGGAGCUUGACUGCGAGUCAAACACGACGAGCAGGUACGAAAGUAGGGCUUAGUGAUCCGGUGGUACCGAGUGGAAGGGCCAUCGCUCAACGGAUAAAAGCUACCCUGGGGAUAACAGGCUAAUCUCUCCCAAGAGUCCAUAUCGACGGGGAGGUUUGGCACCUCGAUGUCGGCUCAUCACAUCCUGGGGCUGAAGUCGGUCCCAAGGGUUGGGCUGUUCGCCCAUUAAAGUGGUACGUGAGCUGGGUUCAGAACGUCGUGAGACAGUUCGGUCCCUAUCCAUCGCGGGCGCAAGAGAUUUGAAGGGGGCUGCUCCUAGUACGAGAGGACCGGAGUGGACGAACCGCUGGUGUACCAAUUAUCCCGCCAGGGGUACAGUUGGGUAGCUACGUUCGGAAAGGAUAAACGCUGAAAGCAUCUAAGCGUGAAACCAGCCUUAAGAUGAGAUCUCUCAUAGAGCAAUCUAGUAAGACACCUUAAAGAAGAUGAGGUUGAUAGGUCGGGAGUGUAAGUACAGCAAUGUAUUGAGCGGACCGAUACUAAUAUGUCGAGGGCUUGACUUA